rnacentral:rRNA from 1 species
CUACGGGAGGCACCAGUGAGGAAUUUUGCGCAAUGGGGGAAACCCUGACGCAGCAACGCCGCGUGAGUGAUGAAGGCCUUCGGGUCGUAAAGCUCUGUCAAGUGGGAAGAACCUACCUAUGGGUAAUAUUCAUGGGUACUGACGGUACCACUGAAGGAAGCACCGGCUAACUCCGUGCCAGCAGCCGCGGUAAUACGGGGGGUGCAAGCGUUAUUCGGAAUUAUUGGGCGUAAAGGGCGCGUAGGCGGUCUUGUUAGUCAGAUGGGAAAGCCCGGGGCUCAACCCCGGAAGUGCAUUUGAUACUGCAAGACUUGAGUAUGGGAGAGGGAAGUGGAAUUCCUGGUGUAGAGGUGAAAUUCGUAGAUAUCAGGAGGAACAUCUGUGGCGAAGGCGACUUCCUGGACCAAUACUGACGCUGAGGCGCGAAGGCGUGGGUAGCAAACAGGAUUAGAUACCCCAGUAGUC